rnacentral:lncRNA from 1 species
CGCUUCCAUCCUUUCGUUACAUCUAAACAACUUUCAUGCAUGAUAGAGCAGUUAAAUACAUGUUCUUUUUCAAAGUUGUCAAAUUGUCAUACCUGAUGGGAGUUUUUCUUUCAUGUAAAAAAAUCGUUGCAGGUCACCGUUUAAAAAUGUUGUGGAUCACGUUCUGUUUUCAUAAAAAUUGCUACAUCUCUAGAUUGUUUUCUACAAAAUAAGUAUGCUACAAGAAAAACACUUUAGAUUUAUCCUCAUGUCACGUUAUAUAUUAAAUAGGAAUCUUAUAUUAUGCAUGUAUAUUAGAUCCAAUAGGAAGAUAAUUUUUCUAUUUCUUCUACUACCGCCAAGAAGUAAUUUUUUUUUUGAACCGAGGAGGUUUUCUCCCCAUUCCCAUGCACAGUGCACAUGGAAAUACAGCGGGCGCCGGUUCGAAUCCGGGGUGGCCAAGGGCACCGCCUUUGGCUUCGUGCUGCUGACCAAAUGGCCAAGAAGUAAUAUGUGAUAAUUAACAUUCAAAUCGACGGUCUAUAGUUUUUUUUUUGGGAGUACCAGAACCCCACACGUAUACAUGAUUGACCAAAGAAAAAAUGUUGUCUAUUGAAUAUGUUCGUCAACCUAAUCGGUAGUACUAUCUAAGGAACAUAUUCAUCAUCCUAGUCUCAUCGCCACAUCAUUUCUUCUUUGGGCUUGUUUGGGAUCAUAGUGCAGUAUCGGUACCGUGGCCUUCCAUCCACUGCAUGAAAAACACGAGCUGUAGUUUAUUCUCAUGGUGGCUAUGUCUCGUGUGGUGAAAAGAAUUGUAGGUUCUAGCAAGAGUUUGGCGGUAGUUUAUUCUCGUGGUAGCUAUGUCUCGUAUGGUGAAAAGAAUUGUAGGUUCUCGCAAGAGUUUGGCGGAUAUUUUCAAUUCUCAUAAUGAGAUGCUCACAGAUCCGGUUAAGAUGCCUGUUUUUUUUUUUCUUAUCAUGGUUCCAAGAAAAUAGUUGUUCAUCUCGUGAUUUACAGUCAAACUGUGUAAUUAGUUUUUGUUUUCAUCUAUAUUUAAUGUUUCAUGCAUGUGCCGCAAGAUUAGAUGUGACGGAGAAUUUUGAAAUUUUUUAGGUAGCUUUUGGGAACUAAACAAAGCCCAAGUUUAGAAGGAAUAGUUGGGGAAAACUAUAAUUUUCUUAUAUAUUGAAUGCGUGCAUGGACACUUGUGAAUCAUAAGUGCCCACCGUUGCUCUACUGAAUUUGUUUCUCCCACUUCAUACCCCCAGCGUGUCUAAUGAUAGGAUUCAUCUUUUGUUAGACAAGCAUUUGUCUACUCUGAGGUCUUUCCUAACAAACCUUGGUACCAUCUAGCAUCACGUGGAUUGGGGUCUUGUUUAGUUCAAAUUUUUUUUCGCAAAACGGACACUGUAGCACUUUCGUUUGUAUUUGACAAAUGUUCAAUCAUAAAUUAACUAGGCUCAACAAUUUUGUCUCGCAAAUUACAGGCAAACUGUAUAAUUAGUUAUUUAUAUUAUCUAUAUUUAAUGUUUCAUGCAUAUAUCGUAAGAUUCGAUGUAACAGAGAAUUUAAAAAAUUUUAUAAUUUUUUUUAACUAAACAAGGCCUGGAUGCUCUAUACGGACACAAAGGCUAGAGGACCCUGCCACUGUGUCUAAGGAUGCAAGCGGCGGCGGGCCAACCACUAAAUCCGCUGGGCUAACCCACACCGCAACCCACUUAAACCAGUGCUGCAAACCCACUAUUCUCGAGCGGCUCAACGCGGCUCGUCCAUGCAGCCUAGCGGCGCCGCAAUAACCCGCAAAGGAGUGGGUGCGAUUGCAAAGGGUGGAUAGAGGACGAACCCAUGUAGU